CAGCCGCCACGGGAAUACGUAGGGUGCAAGCGUUAAUCGGAAUUACUGGGCGUAAAGCGUGCGCAGGCGGUUAUAUAAGUCAGAUGUGAAAUCCCCGGGCUCAACCUGGGAACUGCAUUUGAGACUGUAUGGCUAGAGUGUGUCAGAGGGGGGUAGAAUUCCACGUGUAGCAGUGAAAUGCGUAGAUAUGUGGAGGAAUACCGAUGGCGAAGGCAGCCCCCUGGGAUAACACUGACGCUCAUGCACGAAAGCGUGGGGAGCAAACAGGAUUAGAUACCCGGGUAGUCCCUGUCUCUUAUAC
rnacentral:rRNA from 1 species